GGACGAACGCUGGCGGCGUGCUUAACACAUGCAAGUCGAACGGAAAGGCCCUGCUUUUGUGGGGUGCUCGAGUGGCGAACGGGUGAGUAACACGUGAGUAACCUGCCCUUGACUUUGGGAUAACUUCAGGAAACUGGGGCUAAUACCGGAUAGGAGCUCCUGCUGCAUGGUGGGGGUUGGAAAGUUUCGGCGGUUAGGGAUGGACUCGCGGCUUAUCAGCUUGUUGGUGGGGUAGUGGCUUACCAAGGCUUUGACGGGUAGCCGGCCUGAGAGGGUGACCGGCCACAUUGGGACUGAGAUACGGCCCAGACUCCUACGGGAGGCAGCAGUGGGGAAUAUUGCACAAUGGGCGGAAGCCUGAUGCAGCAACGCCGCGUGCGGGAUGACGGCCUUCGGGUUGUAAACCGCUUUCGCCUGUGACGAAGCGUGAGUGACGGUAAUGGGUAAAGAAGCACCGGCUAACUACGUG
rnacentral:rRNA from 1 species